rnacentral:rRNA from 1 species
UACGUAGGGGGCAAGCGUUGUCCGGAAUUAUUGGGCGUAAAGAGCGCGUAGGCGGUCCGAUAAGUCGGCUGUGAAAGUCAGGGGCUCAACCCUUGAAAGCCGGCCGAUACUGUCGGACUAGAGUCCGGAAGAGGCGAGUGGAAUUCCCGGUGUAGCGGUGAAAUGCGCAGAUAUCGGGAGGAACACCAAUAGCGAAGGCAGCUCGCUGGGACGUUACUGACACGAAGGCGCGAAAGCGUGGGGAGCGAACAGG